GACGAACGCUGGCGGCGUGCCUAAUACAUGCAAGUUGAGCGCUGAAGGUUGGUACUUGUACCAACUGGAUGAGCAGCGCACGGGUGAGUAACGCGUGGGGAAUCUGCCUUUGAGCGGGGGACAACAUUUGGAAACGAAUGCUAAUACCGCAUAAAAACUUUAAACACAAGUUUUAAGUUUGAAAGAUGCAAUUGCAUCACUCAAAGAUGAUCCCGCGUUGUAUUAGCUAGUUGGUGAGGUAAAGGCUCACCAAGGCGAUGAUACAUAGCCGACCUGAGAGGGUGAUCGGCCACAUUGGGACUGAGACACGGCCCAAACUCCUACGGGAGGCAGCAGUAGGGAAUCUUCGGCAAUGGACGAAAGUCUGACCGAGCAACGCCGCGGGAGUGAAGAAGGUUUUCGGAUCGUAAAACUCUGUUGGUAGAGAAGAACGUUGGUGAGAGUGGAAAGCUCAUCAAGUGACGGUAACUACCCAGAAAGGGACGGCUAACUACGUG
rnacentral:rRNA from 1 species